GUAGGGAAUUUUCGUCAAUGGGCGCAAGCCUGAACGAGCAAUGCCGCGUGAGUGAGGAAGGUCUUCGGACUGUAAAGCUCUGUUGCCGGGGAAAAAGGGGAAAUGCAGGAAAUGGCAUUUCAUGGAUGGUACCCGGCCAGAAAGCCACGGCUAACUACGUGCCAGCAGCCGCGGUAAUACGUAGGUGGCGAGCGUUAUCCGGAAUGAUUGGGCGUAAAGGGUGCGCAGGCGGUCUGUUAAGUCUGAAGGCAAAGGGAUGAGCUCAACUCAUUUAUGAUUCAGAAACUGGCAGACUUGAGGACAGGAGAGGGCGGUGGAACUCCAUGUGUAGCGGUAAAAUGCGCAGAGAUAUGGAAGAACACCAGUGGCGAAGGCGGCCGCCUGGCCUGUGACUGACGCUGAGGCACGAAAGCGUGGGGAGCAAAUAGGAUUAGAAACCCUAGUAGUCC
rnacentral:rRNA from 1 species